AAAGAUGAUGUUCGAAGAAUUCAAACUCCUCACUAUGACGCUGUUGUUGUUUCGAUAAUUAGCUAAUAAGACUUCUUUCCGAAUGCAACCACCUGAAGAAUCAACUGCUUCGGUGUCAAUUAUAUUUCGGUCUUGUUGCAAAAACCGACAUCCCGACUAUGAUUUUAAAGUGACACCGAAUAUACUUUGGCUUUCACUAUAAAACCCAGA
rnacentral:lncRNA from 1 species